rnacentral:rRNA from 1 species
UCCAUCCUGGACCUCAG